UUAUUAUUGAUAAUAAUUAAAAAAAAGAAGAAAAGGAAAGAAAAAAAUGAAAUUAAAACAUACCCUUUGAUUUUAAAUAUUUAAAUAAUCACAUUUAGAUUAAAUUAAGGGAAUAAUUUCAAAGAAAUUGAAAAUUAUAUAGUUUGUAUUAAAAACAAUAUGUCAAAGUAAAAUGACAAAGUAAAAUCGUCAAAAUAUGUCAGUUUCAUUGGCAACAAUGUGACGAAGUUAAAAUCGUAAAAAAGUGUCACUUUCAUUGGCAACAAUGUGAUGAGGUUAAAAUCGUAAAAAAGUGUCACUUUCAUUGGCAACAAUGUAACAUAGUAAAAAAGUAAAAAAAGAAAUAUGUCGGUAGUUUUUUUUUGAUUAUGGUUUAAAAUAAUCAAUAAUAACAUGAUAGAAGGACAUAAAUGAACAAUUUAGUAACAUACCUUUGUCGCUGAACUGUAUUUAUAAGGGCUUAAGAAAAAAAAAAAA